AGUGAACGCUGGCGGUAUGCCUAACACAUGCAAGUCGAACGGCAACACAGUUACAGCUUGCUAUUACGGGUGGCGGGUGGCGUAAGGGAGAGGAAUGCGUCGGAAUCUACUGUUUCAUGAGGGAUAACGUAGGGAAACAUACGAUACUACCGCAUAAGACAUACGGGGGAAAUCCGGAGAUCUUCCGACCUUACGCGCUGGUGUGAGCCGAUGUCGGAUUAGGUAGUUGGCGGGGUAAAGGCGUACCAAGGCGACGAUCCGUAGCUGGUCUGAGAGGAUGAUCAGCCACACUGGAACUGAGACACGGUCCAGACUCCUACGGGAGGCAGCAGUGGGGAAUAUUGGACAAUGGGCGCAAGCCUGAUCCAGCCAUGCCGCGUGGGUGAAGAAGGCCUUCGGGUUGUAAAGCCCUUUUGUUCGGAAAGAAAAGCAGCAGGCUAAUACCCCGCUGUUCUGACGGUACCCAAAGAAUAAGCACCGGCUAACUACGUG
rnacentral:rRNA from 1 species